rnacentral:rRNA from 1 species
AACGAACGCUGGCGGCAUGCCUAACACAUGCAAGUCGAACGAGAUCUUCGGGUCUAGUGGCGCACGGGUGCGUAACGCGUGGGAAUCUGCCCUUUGGUUCGGAAUAACAGUUGGAAACGACUGCUAAUACCGGAUGAUGACGUAAGUCCAAAGACUUAUCGCCAGAGGAUGAGCCCGCGUAGGAUUAGCUAGUUGGUGUGGUAAAGGCGCACCAAGGCGACGAUCCUUAGCUGGUCUGAGAGGAUGAUCAGCCACACUGGGACUGAGACACGGCCCAGACUCCUACGGGAGGCAGCUGUGGGGAAUAUUGGACAAUGGGCGAAAGCCUGAUCCAGCAAUGCCGCGUGAGUGAUGAAGGCCUUAGGGUUGUAAAGCUCUUUUACCCGGGAUGAUAAUGACAGUACCGGGAGAAUAAGCUCCGGCUAACUCCGUGCCAGCCGCCGCAGUAA